UCUCCAUCCUAUCCUAUUUGUAGAUGAACACGAGCACACUGGAUUCUCCCUCCAGGUUUCCCUCCAACCCAGAAGGAAGAAACAACCCUCAAAAAUGGAUUUCAUAGGAACCCACAAUCCAACCCUCCUGCUCUCUCUCUCUCCCUCUCCCUCUCUCUGAAUUGAAGGGCAACUGGUUCAUGUCAUCUCUUUCGCGAAUGAAAUCACUAUUCACUCCGACUUUCAUGUGCUUUACCCCUAAUCUCUCCAAAGCCCCACCUUUCUUUCUCUGCAACCCCAAAUCUCUGCAAAACCCUAGUUAUUUCUCCCAUGUAAAACCCCUCAUUUGUUGCCACAGUUCCCCAAUUUCUUCAGACUCCAUCCACACUUCCACUUCGAAUACGGACGCGUCUCAGCCCCCUACCGGCGAAAUCCACCUCAUCGUUGGCCCGAUGUUCGCCGGAAAAACCACCACUCUCCUCCGUCGGAUCAAGUCCGAGCAUAUUCAUGGAAGUUUUCAGGCCAAGGUUGCCAACAAUUCCAUCCAUUUGGAUAGGACGCUAAGAGGUCUAUGCUUAUCAGGAAGAUUGAAAGAAGCAAUUGGGUUGCUAUGGCAUGCAGGAUUACAGGUGUAUCCCGAAACCUAUUCUCUUCUUUUACAAGAAUCCAUAUUUAGGAAACAGUAUAGAUGGGGAACUAGAAUCCAUGCUCAGAUGGUUGUUGUGGGCUUUAUUCCCAAAGAAUAUUUGAUAACCAAAUUGCUGAUAUUGUAUGCUAAAGCUGGGGAUCUAGUAACGGCGAGCCUUCUGUUCAAUGAGUUGCCAAACAUAAGCUUAAUUUCAUGGAAUGCAAUAAUUGCUGGGCAUGUGCAAAAUGGCCUUGGAGAGAUGGGAUUGAAUCUUUAUUAUAAGAUGAGACAAAGUGGUUUGAUGCCUGAUCAAUACACAUUUGCAUCAGUAUUCAGAGCUUGUGCCACUUUAGCUACACUAGAGCAGGGAAAGCAAGCCCAUGGCAUCUUCAUCAAAAGUCAGAUUAGUGGAAAUGUUGUAGUUACUAGUGCCCUCAUGGAUAUGUACUUCAAAUGCAGCAGUCCCUAUGAUGGGAAUCUGAUAUUUGAAAAAUCCAUACACAAGAAUGUGAUUACCUGGACUGCUUUAGUACAUGGAUAUGGACAGAAUGGAACAGUUGAAGAGGUUUUAAAAUCCUUUCAGAGGAUGAUAAGUGAAGGUUUCAGGCCAAACCAUGUUACUUUUCUUGCUGUUCUUUCUGCUUGUAGCCAUGGAGGUUUAGUUGAUGAAGGUUGGCGGUAUUUCUCAUCAAUGAUGAGGCAUUAUGGCAUUCAACCAAGAGGGAAACACUAUGCAGCAAUGGUUGACCUUUUAGGGCGUGCUGGGAGGUUACAAGAAGCAUAUGAGCUUGUUCAAAACUCACCAUUUGCAGAACACUCUGUUACAUGGGGUGCUUUGCUUGGUGCUUGUCGAAUUCAUGGUAAUAUGGACAUGGUGAAGCUGGCCGCAAAGAAGUUUUUUGAGUUGGAACCUGAGAAUGCUGGGAAGUAUGUUGUUCUAUGUAAUGCUUAUGCUACGUUUGGUUUGUGGCACAGUGUUGCAGAGAUGAGGGGACAGAUGAGGGAUUUUGGGAUGAGGAAGGAGCCUGGUUAUAGCAUGAUUGAGAUUCAAAGGGGUGUCCACUUCUUCUUUAUGGGGGAUAAUUCUCAAAAACAAACUGAGCAGAUAUAUGAAUUAAUCAAAGAUAUGACUUACAUUUUGAAGGACGCUGGCUAUGCUCCUGACUUAAGUAGUUGGGAGUGUGAGGGAGUAGAAGUGACUUGCUAGUGCCUUAUUUAACUUGUGACAAAAGCUUAAUGCCUAAACCUCGGGAGAUUUUGAAGCCUAAACCUUAAAAUUUAAUGGUGUUGUCUCAUGGCAAUCUGUAUUCUAGUGAGGCAAAAUAAAUAUUGUGAUUGUGCCCCACUUGUUAUUUGGAUAAUAUGGGACAAACUAAGCUGAUGGCACAUCAUAUUCUAUUGAUGACAUUCCUUCAACAAAUAAAAUUGGAGUAGAUAUGAAAGAGAACAUCAUGCAGAUACUAAAACUUACCCACUCUUCUUAGUGGAAGAAAAGGUGAUUGGCUGUUUGUUUGCAAUAUAUAAGUUAUUUAUUGAUAGGAGGGAAUUCUGAUCAAAGAUAUAAAUGUUAUAAGGAUUUGGCUUUACUGAAAAGAAAAUUCUCAAGGGGAUUGACUUCUUUCUUGGAUUGGGGGUGGAGGGGUCGUGUUCUGCACAUAAUAGUUUAUGAAGUAAUGGAAAGGUGGACAAAGCUUAUGUUGGGCAUACCCUGGAAACUACACAGCUAGAAUGGCAUUAUCAUCUAACAAUAUGUGAAUCAAGAUUCAAAUAGCUUCAAGAAGGUUCUGUAGGAAGAUUAAGGUCAACUAUGAAAGGCUCAUACUGGAUGGUGCUAGUGAAGGCCCAGACCCGUUCAUAGAAACCCACAACAAGCACCUCCUGGUAACCUAAGUAUUGAUUACGUCAUCCUAUGGAAUUUAUACUGCAAACUAGUUGAAUAUCUGGCAGGGCAAGAAGAUUGAAUCUUGUUGGGCUUAGUUGACAGCUAUUAGGGAUGGAUCAUCCCAAGCAUUUUCCACCUUUCCUUCAUUGAGGACUGCCUUGUUGAAAAUCAUUGCUUGGCAAAAUGAAAGCUGCUUGGUGGAAACUCUUCUUUCUUGUUUCUUUGACAUCAUCAUGCUAGCAGCAUUUCAUCCUUCAAGUUUUGACCUUCUUCAGGUGCUGCAUGUUCAGGAAUCAGAUUUGUGAUGGCUACUUUGUAGAGGAAGCUCCUAGAAACCUGAUAUUGAUAUGGCUGUGGAUAAUGCCUGUUGGUUAAAAACUUUUUUCCUUAAGUAAUACAUUGAAAUGUAGCAAUAAUAAAAUCAAACAAGGAUACAAGAUAUGGAUUGGACUCCAUUGUGACACAUGAUGGAGAGAAAUUUCCAUGUUGGCCACUGGCAGAUUUGUCUUCCUUUAGGCAAGAGUUUGGUCUCGAUGCUUAUGAAAAGAUGGUGACAGCUAGAUGUGAUUGGUAUUGACGAGGCCCAAUUCUUUGAUGAUCUCUAUGAUUUCUGCCGCAAGGCUGCUGACUGCGAUGGCAAAACUGUUAUAGUUGCUGGUCUUGAUGGUGACUAUUUGAGGAGGAGGUUCGGU